GGGGGAUGCGAGCGUUAUCCGGAUUCAUUGGGUUUAAAGGGUGCGUAGGCUGUGCGUCAAGUCGGGGGUGAAAUUCCGGUGCUCAACACCGGGGCUGCCCUUGAUACUGUCGCGCUGGAGUGCGGAUGCCGCCGGAGGAAUGAGUGGUGUAGCGGUGAAAUGCUUNGAUAUCACUCAGAACACCGAUUGCGAAGGCUUCUGGCGAAUCCGAAACUGACGCUGAGGCACGAAA
rnacentral:rRNA from 1 species